rnacentral:rRNA from 1 species
UUGGGCACUCUAAAGAGACUGCCGAUGACAAAUCGGAGGAAGUGGGGAUGACGUCAAAUCAUCAUGCCCUUUAUGUCCUGGGCUACACACGUGCUACAAUGGUCGGUACAACGAGAAGCAAGCCAGCGAUGGCAAGCAAAUCUCUAAAAGCCGAUCCCAGUUCGGAUUGCAGGCUGCAACUCGCCUGCAUGAAGUCGGAGUUGCUAGUAAUCGCGGAUCAGAAUGCCGCGGUGAAUGCGUUCCCGGGUCUU